CCUACGGGAGGCAGCAGUGAGGAAUAUUGGUCAAUGGGCGAGAGCCUGAACCAGCCAAGUCGCGUGAAGGAUGACGGCCCUACGGGUUGUAAACUUCUUUUGUCAGGGAGCAAUUGAGUCCACGUGUGGUCUUAGCGAGAGUACCUGAAGAAAAAGCAUCGGCUAACUCCGUGCCAGCAGCGGCGGUAAUACGGAGGAUGCGAGCUUUACCCGGAUUUAUUGGGUUAAAAGGGUGCGUAGGCGGAAUAUCAAGUCAGCGGUAAAAAUUCGGGGCUAAACCCCAUCGUGCCGUUGAAACUGAGGUUCUUGAGUGGGCGAGAAGUAGGCGGAAUGCGUGGUGUAGCGGUGAAAUGCAUAGAUAUCACGAAGAACUCCGAUUGCGAAGGCAGCAUACCGGCGCCCAACUGACGCUGAAGCACGAAAGCGUGGGUAUCGAACAGGAUUAGAUACCCGAGUAGUC
rnacentral:rRNA from 1 species